AUUGAACGCUGGCGGCAGGCCUAACACAUGCAAGUCGAGCGGAUGAAGAGAGCUUGCUCUCUGAUUCAGCGGCGGACGGGUGAGUAAUGCCUAGGAAUCUGCCUGGUAGUGGGGGACAACGUUUCGAAAGGAACGCUAAUACCGCAUACGUCCUACGGGAGAAAGUGGGGGGUCUUCGGACCUCACGCUAUCAGAUGAGCCUAGGUACGAUUAGCUAGUUGGUGAGGUAAAGGCUCACCAAGGCGACGAUCGUUAACUGGUCUGAGAGGAUGCUCAGUCACACUGGAACUGAGACACGGUCCAGACUCCUACGGGAGGCAGCAGUGGGGAAUAUUGGACAAUGGGCGAAAGCCUGAUCCAGCCAUGCCGCGUGUGUGAAGAAGGUCUUCGGAUUGUAAAGCACUUUAAGUUGGGAGGAAGGGCAGUAAGUUAAUACCUUGCUGUUUUGACGUUACCGACAGAAUAAGCACCGGCUAACUUCGUGCCAGCAGCCGCCGUAACAC
rnacentral:rRNA from 1 species